CUGAAUAGGCGGGCCUCGAUCCNGCG
rnacentral:tRNA from 1 species